rnacentral:rRNA from 1 species
CCUACGGGAGGCAGCAGUGGGGGAUAUUGCACAAUGGGGGAAACCCUGAUGCAGCGACGCCGCGUGGGUGAAGAAGUAUUUCGGUAUGUAAAGCCCUAUCAGCAGGGAAGAAAGAAGACGGUACCUGACUAAGAAGCCCCGGCUAACUACGUGCCAGCAGCCGCGGUAAUACGUAGGGGGCGAGCGUUAUCCGGAUUCACUGGGUGUAAAGGGAGCGUAGACGGCCGUGCAAGCCAGGAGUGAAAGCCCGGGGCCCAACCCCGGGACUGCUCUUGGAACUGUGCGGCUGGAGUGCGGGAGGGGCAGGCGGAAUUCCUGGUGUAGCGGUGAAAUGCGUAGAUAUCAGGAGGAACACCGGUGGCGAAGGCGGCCUGCUGGACUGUGACUGACGUUGAGGCCCGAAGGCGUGGGGAGCAAACAGGAUUAGAUACCCUAGUAGUC